GGCGGACGGGUGAGUAACGCAUCGGAACGUGCCCAGGAGUGGGGGAUAACGUAGCGAAAGUUACGCUAAUACCGCAUACGUACUGAGGUAGAAAGCGGGGGAUCGAAAGACCUCGCGCUCAUGGAGCGGCCGAUGUCGGAUUAGCUAGUUGGUGAGGUAAAAGCUCACCAAGGCGACGAUCCGUAGCUGGUCUGAGAGGACGACCAGCCACACUGGGACUGAGACACGGCCCAGACUCCUACGGGAGGCAGCAGUGGGGAAUCUUGGACAAUGGGGGAAACCCUGAUCCAGCAAUGCCGCGUGUGGGAUGAAGGCCCUCGGGUUGUAAACCACUUUUGGCAGGAAAGAAAUCGCCUGUGCUAAUACCAUGGGCGGAUGACGGUACCUGCAGAAUAAGCACCGGCUAACUACGUGCCAGCAGCCGCGGUAAUACGUAGGGUGCGAGCGUUAAUCGGAAUUACUGGGCGUAAAGCGUGCGCAGGCGGUUUUGUAAGACAGAUGUGAAAUCCCCGGGCUUAACCUGGGAACUGCAUUUGUGACUGCAAGACUAGAGUGUGUCAGAGGGAGGUGGAAUUCCGCGUGUAGCAGUGAAAUGCGUAGAGAUGCGGAAGAACACCGAUGGCGAAGGCAGCCUCCUGGGAUAACACUGACGCUCGGGCACGAAAGAGUGGGGAGCAAACAGGAUUAGAUACCCUGGUAGUCCACGCCCUAAACGAUGUCAACUAGUUGUUGGGGAUUCAUUUCCUUAGUAACGUAGCUAACGCGU
rnacentral:rRNA from 1 species